rnacentral:rRNA from 1 species
UACGGGGGGGGCAAGCGUUGUUCGGAAUUACUGGGCGUAAAGGGCGCGUAGGCGGCCUUCUAAGUCGGACGUGAAAUCCCUCGGCUCAACCGAGGAACUGCGUCUGAUACUGGAAGGCUUGAAUCCGGGAGAGGGAUGUGGAAUUCCAGGUGUAGCGGUGAAAUGCGUAGAUAUCUGGAGGAACACCCGUGGCGAAGGCGGCUCUCUGGGACGGUACUGACGCUGAGACGCGAAAGCGUGGGGAGCGAACAGG